ACACCGUCGCGCGGCAUCUUCACCGCCGCCGCCCCGUUUUUCCCCUCGAUGCUAGCCUCGGUGGGUUUGAUGGGUUAAAACUGGAAACCAGCUGAACCCCGCUUGCUUCAUCCGGGUCCGCGCGGGUCAGGGUCCAACCCGCGCUAGGAACCGGAAUGAUAGGUCUAGCAGGGUUGGGUGCGGGCUGGUUCCCGGUUUCCCUGAACCCAUGAACAGGGCUACUUGUGGUUCUCUUUCGAGAGUCCCCUUCUGCAGCUGAUUUGUACCUUCUCUCCCUUGGUCGACCUGGUGCCCUUUUCAGAAGUGGAGGCCACAACUUGAACCCAGGAUUAACUUGAGGCCACUGUUUACUAUCUGUCAUUGGCUUCACGGACUUUUCAUAGGCUUUCUUGAACUUUGCCACAGAAUAGUAGUCAUGAACAUAGUCUUCAAUAUUACCUUGAAUUGAGGUUAUAAUACACAAGGCAUGUGUCCAUGGCAGACCAGUAACUUGCCAGCGCCUACAGGUAUGCUUCCUCUCCUGAAGAUCAACGGUAUGCCUCCAAUGAACUAGAUCUCUUGUAACACCUUCAACUUCACCUAACAUUUCACCUUAUUUCAGCCCUCUGCUCCUUGCAUUAAGGUCCUUCAUCACAUUUGGCAGUAUCUUAUCUUCAAUUCUUAGCAAUUUUUCUUCUUAAGAACAUUUUCUCCAUGCAUAAUUGUCUGAUCCUAUCCAAUAAGAUCAACAACAUGCAGGGAUUUUUUCAUGCCUAAUCCAGCUGUUGAAUGUUUCAGCUAUGUUAUUUGUGUACCAAUGUCAACAAGCAAAUCAUUCCAAUUUGUGCUAUUCCUGUCUAAAAUCCUUGGAAUGUUGCAAGCAUCACAAUACAUACGAGUGCCAUCAUCACUUAGUUUCACGUAAGCACCUACACGCAUAGCAAGUCUGUAGGCUGAACUGGCAUCCAUCCUAAACAGACAUUGGCACAAAUUCGAGUGGAAUAAACACACAGUUAGCUUUACUUCAUUUGCAAAUACGAGCUCAAGUUAGCACAAGAAAUUGGAAGACCACUUACCCAUCAGGAACCCAUGAGAGAUCAGCCUGAUCCUGCGGGAAAAUCUCGUUGAGGAAUCGUGGGGGUCUCCAUCUUCUAUCCUCAGCCAACCGUGCUUGUUCUUCAAGAGGGGCUGCGCGCGGGGCGUCGGUGGGUGUCGCAGCAGCCUACGACGUGCGGGGAGGGGCCGCGCACGUCCAUGGUGGCCAGCGCACCGCCGGAAUGGGCCACCUUGUUCAGCCAAUGAAACAAGAAGAGAUAGAAGGCCACCUUGUUCAGCCUGGAUGGAUCGGGAGUGGGGAUUGACCCGUCGCCGACGAGCUCCACGGUGAGAAGUGGCGGCGAGUCGAUGUCCAUUUCGAGGGACCCACCCAUGGAGGCAACCGCUUCCCGCAGCCGCAAUGCUGAUUCGGCCGCCAGCGCGGCCUCCAGCUCAAGGCCUUGAGCGACACCGUCGUGUAGCAUCUUCGCCGUCACCACCCCUUUUUUUCCCCCUUGAUGCUGGCCUCGAUGGGUUUGACAGGUUAAAACCACAAACCAGCUGACCCCCGCUUGCUUCAUCCGGGUCCACGCAGGUCGGGGUCCAACCCGCGCUAGGAACCGGAAUGACAGGUCCAGCAGGGUUGGGUGCGGGCUGGUUCCCGGUUUCCCUGAACCCAUGAACAGGGCUACUUGUGGUUCUCUUUCCAGAGUCCCCUUUUGCAGCUAAUUUGUACCUUCUCUCCCUUGGUUGACCUGGUGCCCUUUUCAGAAGUGGAGGCCACAACAUUAACUUGAAGCCACUGUUUACUAUCUGUCAUUGGCUUCACAGACUUUUCAUAGGCUUUCUUGAACUUUGCCACAAAAUAGUAGUCAUGAACACAGUCUUCAAUAUUACCUCAAAUUGAGGUUAUAAUACACAAGGCAUGUGUACAUGGCAGACCAUAACUUGCCAGCGCCUACAG
rnacentral:lncRNA from 1 species